rnacentral:rRNA from 1 species
AACGAACGCUGGCGGCAGGCCUAACACAUGCAAGUCGAGCGCCCCGCAAGGGGAGCGGCGGACGGGUGAGUAACGCGUGGGAACGUGCCCCAAGGUACGGAAUAGCCCCGGGAAACUGGGGGUAAUACCGUAUGUGCCCUACGGGGGAAAGAUUUAUCGCCUUGGGAUCGGCCCGCGUUGGAUUAGGUAGUUGGUGGGGUAAUGGCCUACCAAGCCGACGAUCCAUAGCUGGUUUGAGAGGAUGAUCAGCCACACUGGGACUGAGACACGGCCCAGACUCCUACGGGAGGCAGCAGUGGGGAAUCUUAGACAAUGGGCGCAAGCCUGAUCUAGCCAUGCCGCGUGAGCGAUGAAGGCCUUAGGGUUGUAAAGCUCUUUCAGGGGGGAAGAUAAUGACUGUACCCCCAGAAGAAGCCCCGGCUAACUCCGUG